rnacentral:precursor_RNA from 9 species
CAACUUUGCUUUGAAACGCUGCAGUAAGCUACUGGAUGUGUGUCAUAGUCAUGACGUGUGAUCAACAUGACUAGAUAUCACAUUCAGUGGUAUAUUUCAGCGCUACGCCAUUCCUGAUGA